rnacentral:rRNA from 1 species
UACGUAGGGGGCGAGCGUUGUCCGGAAUCAUUGGGCGUAAAGCGCGUGUAGGCGGCCCGGUAAGUCCGCUGUGAAAGUCCAGGGCUCAACCCUGGGAUGCCGGUGGAUACUGUCGGGCUCGAGUCCGGAAGAGGCGAGUGGAAUUCCUGGUGUAGCGGUGAAAUGCGCAGAUAUCAGGAGGAACACCGAUGGCGAAGGCAGGUCUCUGGGCUGACACUGACGCUCAUGCACGAAAGCGUGGGGAGCAAACAGG